UUCCUCAUGUUUCCUGAUCCUGUCCUGGGUCUGUAGUCAUAGUUCUGGAAAUUUCUCUUGGGCCCAAGACUAGGAGGUUCCUCUAAGAUCUCAUAGCCCUGCUUCCUCCCAGUCCCCUCACAGGACAUUUUCUUCCCACAGGUGGGAAAGGAGGGAGCUACUCUCAGGCUGCGUGUAAGUGGUGGGGGUGGGAGUGUGGAGGAGCUCACCGACCCCAUAAUUCCUCCUGCCCCACGUCCCCUGCGGGCUCUGACCGGGUCCUAUUUUUGUUCUACCCCAGGCAGCGACAGUGCCCAGGGCUCUGAUGUGUCUCUCACGGCUUGAAAAACUGGAGACAGCUGCCUGUGUGGGACUGAGAUGCAGGAUUUCUUCACGCCUCCCUUUUGUGACUUCAGGAGACUCUGGCAUCUCUUUCUGCAAAGGCAUCUAAAUGUGUCUCACCUCCCUGUGAGGAGGUGGAGAGACAGCCCACCCCUGUGUCCACCGUGACCCCUGUUGCCAUGCUGACAUGUGUUUUCUCCCCAGUCAUCUUUCCUGUUCCAGAGAGAUGGAGCUGGAUGUCUCCAUCUCUGUCUCAACUUCAUGUGCACUGAGCUGCAACUUCUUACUUCCCUACUGAAUAUAUGAAUCUGAUUAUAAAUUUGUUUUCUCAAAUAUUUGCUAUGACAGGUUGAUGGGUUUAUUAAAUAAGUCAAUUCCUAGAAUUUGAGAGAGUAAAUAAAGACCUGAGAACCUUCCAAAA
rnacentral:sRNA from 1 species